rnacentral:rRNA from 1 species
UACGAAGGGGGCGAGCGUUGUUCGGAUUUACUGGGCGUAAAGGGCGCGCAGGCGGCUUGUCAAGUCAGGCGUGAAAGCCCCGGGCUUAACCUGGGAGGUGCGCUUGGGACUGGCGAGCUAGAGAUCGGGAGAGGAGAGUGGAAUUCCCAGUGAUAGAGGUGAAAUUCGGUAGAUAUUGGGAAGAACACCGGUGGCGAAGGCGGCUCUCUGGACCGAUACUGACGCUGAGGCGCGGAAAGCGUGGGGAGCAAACAGG